rnacentral:rRNA from 1 species
GGGCUGCUAUAGAUGCAAGUCGAACGAACUCUGGUAUUGAUUGGUGCUUGCAUCAUGAUUUACAUUUGAGUGAGUGGCGAACUGGUGAGUAACACGUGGGAAACCUGCCCAGAAGCGGGGGAUAACACCUGGAAACAGAUGCUAAUACCGCAUAACAACUUGGACCGCAUGGUCCGAGUUUGAAAGAUGGCUUCGGCUAUCACUUUUGGAUGGUCCCGCGGCGUAUUAGCUAGAUGGUGAGGUAACGGCUCACCAUGGCAAUGAUACGUAGCCGACCUGAGAGGGUAAUCGGCCACAUUGGGACUGAGACACGGCCCAAACUCCUACGGGAGGCAGCAGUAGGGAAUCUUCCACAAUGGACGAAAGUCUGAUGGAGCAACGCCGCGUGAGUGAAGAAGGGUUUCGGCUCGUAAAACUCUGUUGUUAAAGAAGAACAUAUCUGAGAGUAACUGUUCAGGUAUUGACGGUAUUUAMCCAGAAAGCCMCGGCUAACUACGKGCCAGCAGCCGCGGUAAUACGUAGGUGSCAAGCGUUGUCCGGAUUUAUUGGGCGUAAAGCGAGCGCAGGCGGUUUUUUAAGUCUGAUGUGAAAGCCUUCGGCUCAACCGAAGAAGUGCAUCGGAAACUGGGAAACUUGAGUGCAGAAGAGGACAGUGGAACUCCAUGUGUAGCGGUGAAAUGCGUAGAUAUAUGGAAGAACACCAGUGGCGAAGGCGGCUGUCUGGUCUGUAACUGACGCUGAGGCUCGAAAGUAUGGGUAGCAAACAGGAUUAGAUACCCUGGUAGUCCAUACCGUAAACGAUGAAUGCUAAGUGUUGGAGGGUUUCCGCCCUUCAGUGCUGCAGCUAACGCAUUAAGCAUUCCGCCUGGGGAGUACGGCCGCAAGGCUGAAACUCAAAGGAAUUGACGGGGGCCCGCACAAGCGGUGGARCAUGUGGUUUAAUUCGAAGCUACGCGAAGAACCUUACCAGGUCUUGACAUACUAUGCAAAUCUAAGAGAUUAGACGUUCCCUUCGGGGACAUGGAUACAGGUGGUGCAUGGUUGUCGUCAGCUCGUGUCGUGAGAUGUUGGGUUAAGUCCCGCAACGAGCGCAACCCUUAUUAUCAGUUGCCAGCAUUAAGUUGGGCACUCUGGUGAGACUGCCGGUGACAAACCGGAGGAAGGUGGGGAUGACGUCAAAUCAUCAUGCCCCUUAUGACCUGGGCUACACACGUGCUACAAUGGAUGGUACAACGAGUUGCGAACUCGCGAGAGUAAGCUAAUCUCUUAAAGCCAUUCUCAGUUCGGAUUGUAGGCUGCAACUCGCCUACAUGAAGUCGGAAUCGCUAGUAAUCGCGGAUCAGCAUGCCGCGGUGAAUACGUUCCCGGGCCUUGUACACACCGCCCGUCACACCAUGAGAGUUUGUAACACCCAAAGUCGGUGGGGUAACCUUUUAGGAACCAGCCGCCUAAGGUCAGAA